UAUUGGAUCGCAUUUAACAAAAAAGGAACCAGCGCGAUUAGAGCGUUGUAAAAAUGUUGCCUCUUUAUAAUUAUGCAAGAAAUCGCCCAGAAAGAGCAAAUAUUUUUUGCUUUCUACCAAAAAAUUGUUAAUUUUAAAGAAAAAUAAUCGCGUAAAUUUGAAUAAUGUAAAUAUAUUGCGUAUUUUUAAAGGAAAUGAAGAAGUUGCACGAUUUUGAAAACGAUAUAAUCGCGCUGUUUCCUUUUUGAAAAAUGCGAUCAAAUUGGAAGUGCAUGAAAUAUUAAUUGCUUUGUGGGGUUCCACAUAAAAUUCAACAAAAUAAAGGUUAGCCUUUAUUUUAUUGAUUUUAUUGAAAUUUUGCAUCCUUAGUCACGAAAGACAUAGGUUGCUUAGCUGUAUAACCAUCCAUGAGAGAAGGAACCUUAGUUUUUUGACGACAAAUUUCAUAAAACGAUUUGUAUAGAGUUUUUUUUUUUAUAAUUUGAGUCCGAGAUCUUGAAGAAUUUCUCAUCUAAGUGUCGUGGAGAAUAUUUGUAUGUUACCAGUGACUAAGUUCAUGUUUGUGCUAGAGAGAGGCAAGUAGGUGCAAUUUUAAUCCGACAAUGUUCUGAUGUAUACACGGCAGAUUAGAAUUUCAGAGAGCUUUCACUCCGAACAUCGUUUUUGAACUAGAAACUUUAAAUGAUCCUAUAAUCUACUUUCUUUGACAUUUUUGGGAAGCAAAUGAAGAGGAGUUACUGACAAAGGCAAAUUUCAAGAAAUUGAUGUUAGUAGAGUUGGGUGAAGAAUCGGAUACAGAAAUUUCUAUGGAAAACUCUUUUUCGUGCCUUAAAAAAAAGUUUCAAACGAGUUAAUUAAUGUUUGGCCCAUUAGAGGGCAUGGCAAGUUGCAUUAUGACCUGAUAAUGUUGUACUGUGAAUAUGACAGAUUUUAUUGAACAGCUUGCUUUCUUUAAUCUCUUAAUUUCAAACCGCCACAAAGUUGGUAGUGUUCGACAUUCUGGGCGUUAUUCAACCCAAAACGAUUACAAAGCACUCCUUUUUGCCUUGGACACGAACUUAGCUUUCGGUUUUUUAUCGAUUUUUUUAUUUAUUAAGGUCUCUUUUUCUGGGAACGGUUACAAUUUUGAAUUUUUUUUCGCUCCUAAUCUGAUUUGGCAACCAAGACUGCUGAUCACGAGAGUGAUUCUGCCCGUAAUUAUGAGGACUUCCGUCGAUAUUGUGGUAGAGGCCAACUCAUCGAGCUCAGCUCUUUGGUGGCAUGAAGACACGCUGUUGUUAACAGAUUUACCUAUUGCGUCAUGUGAGGAACCAUAG
rnacentral:lncRNA from 1 species